AGAGCAAUAGCUGGGUUAAAGGGUGGCUCCAUUCCCAGCUUUCCAAGGAAUGUCCAUACUGCUUUCUAAAUUGGCUGCACCAAUUUACAGUCCCAUCAGCAGU
rnacentral:pre_miRNA from 1 species